UUUACUGGUUUGCUCCUGUUUUCUUCUGGCUUUAUGUGGAUGUAACCUUGGCUUCAUUUUCUAUAAUACUGUGCUUGAGUUUUCCCGGGCUGGGCCGUUAACCGCGGCGCUGUUUUAUUUUCAUCUUGUGAGUGAUUCUUUAUGGUUCUCUUGGAUCGAUUCUUGCUACUCUGCUAGUGUUUAUGGUGUAGGACUGUAGGUAGGCGUGGCUGCUGUUGUGGGUGUGUUGUCGAAUUUUAGCGUGUCCAGGGUUCGUGGUUGGACGUGGUGCGGGCUUUAGCUCUUGACUGACUGAGCUAUGGCUGAGGACUGAAACGAACUAUUAGAAAAGUUAACCUUAUCUGAAGAAGAAUCGAAGUUAGUGUUUAGCUCUAAGCCUCUAGCCGAUUUUCAACAAACCCUAAAGAAUAUGAGGCUUGGGCAAUCUGAAAAAUAAUGUCGAAUGAAAGAAUAAACAAAGAGGCUAUGUACAGGGUCUUGAGAUCUCUUUGGUUCACAAAAGAAGAGGUAAACUUUCUGGAGUUAAGAGACAAAGUCAUCUUAGUUAAGUUUGGGGUCGUCGAAGAUAGAACAAGAAUCCUUAACCUUGCUCCAUGGCUCUUCGAUCAAUGUCUAUUUGCUCUAUUUCCGUAUGUAAAGGGCCAGGAGAUAGAAGAUUAUAUCUUCAACCUAACACCUUUUUGGAUAAGAAUAUACAAUAUACCAUUUGAUUAGAUGGAUAGACAAACGGCUUUAGAAGUGGGAGAAGCUAUUGGUGGGGAGAUGGCAAUUGAUUGGAGGGAUAGGGACGGUGGCUGGACUGAAUAUAUCAGAGAGAUCGUAAAAAUAGAUGUUUUAAAACCCCUAAGGAGAGUGGUCUAUCUUAUGGGACAGGGGGAUAUUGAAAUCGUUUGCGCUAUAAAAUACGAACAUCUUUCGACAUUUUGUUGUAAGUGCGGAAUCAUCGGUCAUAAAACACAAAAGUGCAACGAAAAAGGGGUCCAAACGGAGUCAGCCAAAAUAGAGCUCCAAUAUGGUAAUUAGCUUAGAGUGCAAGUAUGGGGAACAACCCAAGGGAAAGGAAACUGGAGGAAUGGUGUUGAAUUUUUAGAUGGCAGGCAGGGGAGCAACACUGAGACAAAAGUUAACAAGGAGAGAAGUGGUGAAGAAAACGAAACCAUGAGAGUAAUCAAAAAAAGAAAAAAACUAAGACAGGAGAGGAGGAGUCUGCAUCGAGCUCUCCUAUAGAAAAACGGCUAACUCGUGGCAUCCGUGAUGGAGGGGGAAGAAGUCGAAAUAAGGGAAAAAAGCUAAAGGAGGCAAUGGGGAAAAUCUCGAUUAUAGUCCAUUUCAUUUAGUGCGCAGGAAGCUCUUAGACAGCAUCUCACCUUGUAAGGCGGAGGUUGUAGGCCAGCCCCGCCAAGAGCAAUGAAGCUCCUAUGUUGGAACUGUUGUGGGCUUGGGAACCCUGCGACAGUUUGGUAAUUGAAGCAACUUCUCGUUGCGACCAACCCUGAUGUUAUUUUCUUUGCAAAACUAAGAUGCAUGCUAACAAUUUCUCUCUUGUUCGAAAUCAAUGUAGGAUGGAAGGAUGUAUGGCUGUUAAUGCUAUGGGAAAGAGUGGUGGUUUAGCUAUGAUGUGGAGGGAGGGUACCAAUGUUGAGAUCCAAAACUAUUAUCGCAAUCAUAUCGACUCUUUGGUCCAUAUGGAAAACCAAAAUCCCAUUCGUUUUACUGGCUUACCAAAGAAAAAGUUCUUGGGAUAUGCUUAGAAGGGUGGGAAGCUCUGUCAAGGAAACUUGGACUAUUAGUGGUGAAUUUAACGCCAUUCUUAACGAAGCAGAAAAGGAGGGUGGCCGAAGGAAAUCGAGAGCAUUAAUGGAUGACUUUCGAGAGGUAGUUGAGGAACUCUCUUUGGUUGAUUUAGGUUUACAUGGGUUAACAACCGUAAUGGGAAUGUCAUUGUUAAAGAGAGGCUCGACCGUUUCAUGAUUUCGGCUAACGAUGUUGCUAACUUCCCGUUCGUCGAAACUAAGUGGUGCAUCAGUCAAAGUCAGACCACGAUGCUAUUUUUUUAGAUAUCAUGGGGCGUAAGCCGAAUGAGUGCUCCAGAGACCCCAGACUUAGAAUCAGAUACGACGUUUGUUGGGCAAAAGAGACGGCUGCGAAAAACAUUAUUAAAAGUGCAUGGGGUGAUAAUGAGCUGGACGUUAUGGGAAAGAUUAAGAAAGUGGGCUAAGCCCUUGGUCAAUAGCAGUACAGUCGUAACAAGAAAAUGCGAAACCAAAUUGGUAUUUUAAAAGCAAAAAUCAACAAUAUCAUUGAUUGUCCUGGUAGGAUGUUCGAUGGUAGCAAGCUGAAAACUAUGCGCAUGAAACUGGGGCAGCUGUUGGACAAAGAACAAAGCUAUUGGGCGCAAAGUGGCUGAAAGAAGGAGAUGGGAAUACUCGUUUUUUCCACGUCAGGGCUACGAGUAGAAGGAAGAAAAAUAGCAUUGAAAGGCUGAAAGAUUUGAAUGGUUGCUGGAAAGUCAAAAACACUGAUAUUUGUGCUAUUGCCAGGGAGUAUUUUCACAACUUAUUUGAAUCAACUUUGUCUCCUUAUGAGGUGCUUAAUCUUGACUACAUUGAUAAUUGUAUUUCAGAUGACAUGAACGAAAGGCUGACAAAGGAGUUCACGGACAAAGAAAUAGUGGAAGCUUUCAACCAAAUGGACCCUCGGAAAGCGCCCGGAUUGACGGUCCCUCGGGGUGAUUUUAAAGGAAAAUUAGGAGGUGGUGGGAGCGGAUGUCGUUAAGCUGGACCAUGAGGUUCUUGGAGGUCACAUAAUUGUGGAUAGUCUUAAUGAAAUGAUUAUUAUUCUUAUUCAAAAAAUUAAAGAGCUAUCGACAUGUUUAACUUGAGGCCUAUAAGCUUUUGCAGGGUUAUUUAUAAAAUCAUAGCCAAAGUUCUUGCAAAUCGGUUGAAGGUGUUGAAUUACAGAGAAACUGUAGAACUUAAGUCUUUUGUAUUCAUAAAACUUCCUUGUCUUUUAUGAGUAGGCAGUACAUGCAUUUAUAGAGAAGAGAGGGAGAUUACUGUAGUACUAGGAUCUUUAACAGCUUAACUGCUUUAGCAACUACCUACUAACUGACUUUAACAAUAACUCUAACAUUCUUCUGGUUCUCUGAUCUGUUGAAGUCUGAAAGCUCCAUCUCUUGUUGUGACUUGUAAAGCGCUGCGAAGCACGACAAACUGCUUGGGAGCAAUUGGCUUAGUAAGCACAUCAGCGAUUUGAUGAGCUGACGGGACAAAGUUAACUUGUAUGGUGCCAUCUACCACUUUUUCUCUGACAAAAUGAUGAUCAAUUUCAACAUGUUUGACUCUGGCGUGGUGAGUGGGAUGCUGACACAGAGACAGUGGAGGUGUUGUCACACCAGACUAUGGGUGUCUGUUCCACAGUGAGACCAACUUCUUCUAGCAACUGCUUGAUCCCCAGCAAUUCGGAUACACAAUUUGCUAGGCUGCGAUACUCAGCUUCUGAAGACGACCUAGAAACCACUGCCUGCUUCUUUGAGCACCAGGCUAUCGGAUUCGACCCCAAGAAUAUGACAUAUCCUGUAGUUGACCGCCUGUCAUCAACUGAAGAGGCCCAGUCGGCAUCAGAAUAGCUGAUCAGUUGUAACGGACCUUGAAUUACAGAGAAAUUGUAGAACUUAAGUCUUCUAUAUUCAUAAAACUUCCUUGUCUUUUAUGAGUAGGCAGUACAUGCAUUUAUAGAGAAGAGAGGGAGAUUACUGUAGUACUAGGAUCUUUAACAGCUUAACUGCUUUAGCAACUACCUACUAACUGAC
rnacentral:lncRNA from 1 species